AUUAGAGACAAAAGGGCCACCUUCAAACAGUGUGAUCUUCCUGUUACCACAGCUUCAUGUAUUUUUCAGGACUUUUGAGGUCUUCAAGAAUGUAGAUCAUCUCACUGGAUGUGGCUGAAAGAAGAAACCAUUUGAAGGCCCGGAAACGUCCAUGAUGACAUCCAUCAAACCUCGUCUAUAUUUGCAAGAAGACAUCACCAGCUGGACCUCCUGUACACAGAGGUCCAUCCUUCACAUGCCAACCUGGGUCCGUCGCCUCCGAUCUUCUCUGUCCCGCCACACUCCAUCAGCCUGCCUCACUGUUUGGAUCAUCGCCCGCCGUUUCAGAUCUACUCUUCAGCGCUGCAAUAACCACGGACAAUAAACUGUAAAUCUUCAUCUGCCUCCCGUAUUCCUUCUGGGUUCCAGCAUUUAGGUCUGCUUCGCUCCGCUAACAUGACAGACAAUGAGAAGCCCAGCCCCUCUGAUUGGGUCGGGUCCUGGAACAUUUCAAGUCCCUCCAAUGUGGAAAACAGGAUCCGUCCAACCACAAGGAAAUCACUAAACUGCAGUUUGCACGUGAAGAAGACAUCUAAAGUGAUGUGUGGA